rnacentral:rRNA from 1 species
UACGGAGGGUGCAAGCGUUGUCCGGAUUUAUUGGGUUUAAAGGGCGCGUAGGCGGCCCACUAAGUCAGACGUGAAAUCCCCCGGCUUAACCUGGGAACUGCGUCUGAUACUGGAGGGCUUGAGUAUGGGAGAGGGAUGUAGAAUUCCAGGUGUAGCGGUGAAAUGCGUAGAUAUCUGGAGGAAUACCGGUGGCGAAGGCGGCAUCCUGGACCAUUACUGACGCUGAGGCGCGAAAGCUAGGGGAGCAAACGGG